AUGAACGCUGGCGGCGUGCUUAACACAUGCAAGUCGAACGUGAUCCAAUAGUAAUAUUGGUGAAAGUGGCGGACGGGUGAGUAACACGUGGGUGACCUGCCUCGGAGUGGGGGAUAACCAUGGGAAACUGUGGCUAAUACCGCAUGGUCCUAUUGACGUGGGAAUGUUGAUAGGUAAAGCUUUAGUGCUACGAGAGGGGCCUGCGGUCGAUUAGGUAGUUGGUGGGGUAAAGGCCUACCAAGCCGAUGAUCGGUAGCUGGUCUGAGAGGACGGUCAGCCACACGGGAACUGAGAGACGGUCCCGACUCCUACGGGGGGCAGCAGUGAGGAAUAUUGGGCAAUGGGCGCAAGCCUGACCCAGCAACGCCGCGUGGAGGAUGAAGGUCUUUGGAUUGUAAACUCCUUUUGUGGGGGAAGAGCGCGGACGGUACCCCAAGAAUAAGUCACGGCUAACUACGU
rnacentral:rRNA from 1 species